UACGGAGGGUGCGAGCGUUAAUCGGAAUUACUGGGCGUAAAGGGUGCGUAGGUGGUUUGAUAAGUUAUCUGUGAAAUUCCUGGGCUUAACCUGGGGUGGUCAGAUGAGACUGUUGGACUUGAGUACGGGAGAGGGCAGUGGAAUUUCCGGUGUAGCGGUGAAAUGCGUAGAGAUCGGAAGGAACACCAGUGGCGAAGGCGGCUGCCUGGCCUGAUACUGACACUGAGGCACGAAAGCGUGGGGAGCAAACAGG
rnacentral:misc_RNA from 1 species